rnacentral:rRNA from 1 species
CAGUAGCGUAUAUUAAAGUUGUUGCAGUUAAAAGCUCGUAGUUGGAUUUCUGGUUUAACGUGUCUAGUCCGCUGCGGUAACGUAUGUCGAGUACCAGUUCGCGUUUGCCAUCCUUCUAGGAAACGUGACUACUCUUCACUGAGUCGGUCAUUGGAUUCUAGAUCUUUUACUUUGAAAAAUUAGAGUGUUAAAGCAGGCUUUGCCGUGAAUACAUUAGCAUGGAAUAAUAAUUUAGGACUUCAAUCCUAGUUUGUUGGUUCUUGGAAUGAAGUAAUGAUUGAUAGGGAUAGUGGGGGUGCUAGUAUUGAGUGGCCAGAGGUGAAAUUCUUGGAUUCACUCAAGACUAACUUAUGCGAAAGCAUUCACCAAGGAUGUCUUCUUUAAUCAAGAACGAAAGUUGGGGGAUCGAAGACGAUUAGAUACC